rnacentral:rRNA from 1 species
GGGCCCGCACAAGCGGUGGAGCAUGUGGUUUAAUUCGAUGAUACGCGAGGAACCUUACCAGGGCUUAAAUGUAGAGUGACAGGCUGAGAGAUCGGCUUUUCUUCGGACACUUUACAAGGUGCUGCAUGGUUGUCGUCAGCUCGUGCCGUGAGGUGUCAGGUUAAGUCCCGCAACGAGCGCAACCCCUAUUCUUAGUUACCAGCACAUAAUGGUGGGGACUCUAGGAAGACUGCCGGCGUAAGCCGCGAGGAAGGUGGGGAUGACGUCAAAUCAUCAUGGCCUUUAUGCCCAGGGCUACACACGUGCUACAAUGGAGGGUACAGAGGGUCGCGAAGCCGCGAGGUGGAGCCAAUCUCAUAAAGCCCUUCCCAGUUCGGAUUGGAGUCUGCAACUCGACUCCAUGAAGUUGGAAUCGCUAG